rnacentral:tRNA from 1 species
CAAAAGGUAGUUUAAGUAAAAUUUUAGCUUUGGAAGCUAAGGACAUGGUCGAACCAUCCUUUUGA